GCCGACGUAGCCCAAUGGCAGAGGCACAGCACUUAGGAUGCUGUCAGUGAGAGUUCGAGUCUCUCCGUCGGCA
rnacentral:tRNA from 2 species